rnacentral:rRNA from 1 species
UUUUCGGAGAGUUUGAUCCUGGCUCAGAGUGAACGCUGGCGGCGUAGAUUAGGCAUGCAAGUCGAGCGAUACUUUUUUCUUGAGGUGGUGAAGCCGCAAGGCUGAUCUGUCAAGGGAAAAAAGAUAUAGCGGCAGACUGGUGAGUAACACGUGAGUAAUUUACCUCUAAGUCGGGGAUAGCUUUGCGAAAGCGAGGGUAAUACCCGAUGUGUUUACGGUUGCAUAAGCAGCUGUAAGUAAAGAAGGCUCGCAAGAGUUUUUGUUUAGAGAUGAGCUCGCGUCCUAUCAGCUAGUUGGUGGGGUAAUGGCCUACCAAGGCUUUUGACGGGUAGCUGGCCUGAGAGGGUGGUCAGCCACAUGGGGACUGAGACACUGCCCCAA